rnacentral:rRNA from 1 species
CAGCCGCCACGGGAAUACAGAGGGUGCGAGCGUUAAUCGGAUUUACUGGGCGUAAAGCGUGCGUAGGCGGCUUCUUAAGUCGGAUGUGAAAUCCCUGAGCUUAACUUAGGAAUUGCAUUCGAUACUGGGAAGCUAGAGUAUGGUAGAGGAUGGUAGAAUUCCAGGUGUAGCGGUGAAAUGCGUAGAGAUCUGGAGGAAUACCGAUGGCGAAGGCAGCCAUCUGGCCUAAUACUGACGCUGAGGUACGAAAGCAUGGGGAGCAAACAGGAUUAGAUACCCGCGUAGUCCCUGUCUCUUAUAC